rnacentral:rRNA from 2 species
ACGGGAGGCAGCAGUGGGGAAUAUUGGACAAUGGGCGAAAGCCUGAUCCAGCGACGCCGCGUGAGUGAAGAAGUAUUUCGGUAUGUAAAGCUCUAUCAGCAGGGAAGAAAAUGACGGUACCUGACUAAGAAGCACCGGCUAAAUACGUGCCAGCAGCCGCGGUAAUACGUAUGGUGCAAGCGUUAUCCGGAUUUACUGGGCGUAAAGGGAGCGUAGGCGGCUUGGCAAGCCAGAAGUGAAAACCCGGGGCUCAACCCCGUGGAUUGCUUUUGGAACUGUUGAGCUAGAGUGUCGGAGAGGUAAGUGGAAUUCCUAGUGUAGCGGUGAAAUGCGUAGAUAUUAGGAGGAACACCAGUGGCGAAGGCGGCUUACUGGACGAUUACUGACGCUGAGGCUCGAAGGCGUGGGGAGCAAACAGGAUUAGAUACCCUGGUA